CAAGGGAUCCUCCUGCCUAGGCAUCCCAAAGUGCUAGGACUAUAUGCAUGAGCCACCACACCCAGCCUGAAGCAAUGCUUUUAACUUCCUCUUGGUGUUCCUUUUCUGCCAAUUUCAUGCCAUUUACUCCUUUUGUAAUAGUGUCUAUUAGAUAGUACAAGACAAUAUCUUAUCUAUUAUUUUCUAUGUUAUUCUUCCUUCAUCAAAUUUCCUAAUACUUUCUGUAGUUGCUAGAGGCUACCGCAUUGAUACAAGAAGAAUCAGGAUUGCUGUAUCUAAAACCAUAAGGGAAACAAACGGUUAAUUACAGCUUUCUUUAUUUACUUGUAGGGAUCAUUUGGAUUAAAAGUAAAGGCUCUGAGAGGAACCGAGUGUCCCACUUGUGGGUUUAUGCAACAACAAAGGACUUCGGAAGACAAAUAAUCACAGCUUUGUCGGCCUGCAGUGAGGAGCGAGAGGGGACCCACCUUCAAGAGUGCCCACAUUUGAACCCUUGAGUGAAUACUUGAUGCUGUUUACCAAGGGUCCUUAUCCUUUCCAUCUCUCAUUCAUAUAACCCCCUUACCAAAUUAUGGACACCCAUGAAAUGCUGAGAAGCAGCAGCAAAAAUCUGUGCUCUGAGCAUCAACAUCUUGAAACUUCAUUUUAUUAUACAGCACACUCUCAGAAAGGAACUCACCAGUUCUAACAGCCCUCUUAUUGGGAAGUCAGCACAGAGAUUUCCCUUUUUUCCAGAGGAAGGAAAAGGAUUUUAGUAUUUCACAGUAACACUUGAGCAAGUUAUGAGGGGCAUUCAUUGCCUAACUGCUGGCUGGUGCUUCCUUAUUUCUUCCAGAACCUUUGGCCUCUGAUCAGCACUUAGAAAUACAGACUGGUCCUAAAACCGCCUUUGCAAAAAUUAUAACUGAGACAAUGAUUACAGUGAUGAAGAUCUGACCUAACCAAGUCCGUCUGGCUUCUAACCUCCAAGCUGUCCUUGUUCGUUCCUGGGGCGUAGGCUGAACUAACUUUGGGAGCAGCUUAGUUUAUAGUUUAGCGUUGAAACAAAGACAAUUACCACCCUUUCUCAAAACAAACCCCCUUCCUGCCUGGGGACUAGACUGCCUUUGUAGGACUAACAAAUUAGCUACAAGAUUAGAAAUUAUGGUUUAGGAGUCAUGCAGCUGGAGGCUACAAGAUUCUAAACCUCCCAAAUUGCUCCUCAGGAUAACAUCACGAUUGUAAAACCUAACAUCAGUGCUUGAGAUCUUUUGCAGACCCUGCACUGGAUGGAUCAGCUGGCACCACCCACAUCUAUAAACUGGCUCAUCUGGGCUUAUGGACUCCACCCAGGAACUGACUCAGAGCAAGAGGACAGCUUCAACUCCCUAUGAUUUCAUCUCUGACCUGAUCAAUCAGCACUCCUCACUUUCUGACACCCUACCUACCAAAUUAUCCUGAUCUGAGGAAUAAAAAAGCUAGCUCCCAUA